GGGACUGCGCGAGGCUUGGGUGGGAGGAGGCGGAGGGCGCGUCUCUCCGGCUCCUGGCGCGGGGCUGACUCGGGGGCCGCUGGCCCCUCUUGGCCGCCGUCGCCACGCACCGAGUUUGUGUUUAAGGAGAAACUAACAAUGAAAACGGCCUCGUUGACGGAGGAAAAGUUGGAAUGCAGCCUCUGGUGCUGUUUGAGCGAUCCCUCUCCCCGGGGCCUGGCCGCGCGCUGCUGUGUUCUGGAAGGGCUCAUUGUACAGUCAAGGCGGCAGGGCCUUCUUCUGUCACCCAUGCUGGAGUGCAGUAGCAUGAUCACAGCUCACGGUAGCCUCCACCUUCUGGGCUCAAUCCUCCUACCUCAGCCUUCCAAGUAGCUGGGACUACAGACUAGCCCUGCUUGCAACUUCCACGUGCAGUCCUCCGCAAUGCUGCCAGAGCGGCAGCUACAACUCUAUGAUUGAAGGCAUCGCCCUCCUGGUUCUCCAUAUUGUUUGCCAUCUUGGACAGAUAAACUAGAUGAGCUCUUUUUUCAACACUCAGAGAAUGUUUUGAAUUCACAUUUCUGCCAUCUUACUCACCUAUUCGAAUCAGUUCCCUCCCCCUCCCUUGUAUCAAAUAUUGUCUCUGAUAAUAAUACAUUGAGUUAUUUGUAGUUCCUGAAGAAUUUCAUGUUCUUAUAACAUGAAAUUUUUUCCCACACUAUUUGUUAUAACUAGUUUACCUAUUUCUGCCUAAAUAAAAUCUUCUCCAAAUUUCAGAUCA
rnacentral:lncRNA from 1 species